rnacentral:tRNA from 1 species
GUAGGUAUAGCUCAGUGGUAGAGUGCAUGCUUAGCAUGUGCAAGGUCCAGGGUUCAAUCCCCAGUACCUCCA